AAUGGAGGCAACUCUGAUCCAGCAAUGCCGCGUGUGUGAUGAAGGCCCUAGGGUUGUAAAGCACUUUCAACGGUGAAGAUGAUGACGGUAGCCGUAGAAGAAGCCCCGGCUAACUUCGUACCAGCAGCCGCGGUAAUACGAAGGGGGCGAGCGUUAUUCGGAAUUAUUGGGCGUAAAGCGCGCGUAGGCGGCUUGGCCAGUUGGAGGUGAAAGCCCGGGGCUCAACCCCGGAACUGCCCCCAAAACUGCCAGGCUUGAGGCCGGGAGAGGAGAGUGGAAUUCCCAGUGUAGAGGUGAAAUUCGUAGAUAUUGGGAAGAACACCAGUGGCGAAGGCGGCUCUCUGGACCGGACCUGACGCUGAGGGCGAAAGCGUGGGGAGCAAACAGGAUU
rnacentral:rRNA from 1 species